UUCUCCAAUUCUCAUCUGUAACUUCGGGCUCCAGAUUUGUCUUCUUUAUAUAAAUCGAUCAAAGAAAAUAACAUCGAGAAUCAAAAACGGCUGUUCUAAAGGAAUGAGUGAUACAGAUAAAAAAAACAACAUUCAAUGGAUAUAAAGGUCUUUUCUUUGUGGAACUACAAUAUCUAAGAAAAAUGAUGAAAGCUAUCAAGAGGCUACUUGAUUUCGAUUUCAGGAUUUGGUUAUUCUCGAAGGUCUGUAUACGGUUUUUGGAAUCUCUCCUCCGCCACCACUUGCACAAUUUUUAAACAGAGGUCUUCACACUCUGUCUUUGCCAGAAAUGGCCAAGCCGGAGGUCGCAACUAUCUGCAAAAGUUUGUGUUUUUUCCUCUAAUCAAACAUAUUUUAUUUCAGACUUGGCCUAACAUAUUGUAUCAUCAAUUUCUAAAAUAGUUAUUGCAUGGAUGAACUUUGUGCUUCUUACUCGAUCAUCAGAUAUGUUGAACUUUGUUUUUCCAGUUCAUGGUUUAAGCCUUUAAGUAGCAGGGCUACUGAAAGUAUGUUACUGAAACAUUCAGAGUUCACUACAGGAACAAGAAAGGUACACGUUUAACUGCUAGAAAGUCAUGAAGGUUGGGUUUCUUUGACACAAGAUCAAAAUCCAUGAGCUUUAGCGUUUGGAUCUCACUAUUUUGGGAAAGAAUGAAGUAGAUGUUUCAAUGUAUCAGGAUUGUACUCUGGUUGAACCCAAAUGGUGUUUGAAUGUUUCAGUACGAGUCUAGGUUUUCCAAAGGAAUCAUACGAGGUCGGCCAUGGUUAUGGGUUGUUGUCUUAGAAUGAACCAUACAUGUAUUGUAGUUGCUCAGAAUAAUAUAGUUCUGGAGUGGUUUAUGUAUCUCUCAGUAUGUAAGUUAUCGGAGUUGUUGCGUUAAGGUCUGCUCUAGGUUAUGGUCAUUUGGCUUUAUUUAUCAAACUAUGCAGUUGGUCUU